GACGUAGGGCGCGAGCGUUGUCCGGAUUUAUUGGGCGUAAAGAGCGUGUAGGCGGUUUGGUAGGUCCGCUGUGAAAACUCGAGCUCAACUUCGAGACGCCGGGUGGAAACCAUACAGACUAGAGUCCGGAAGAGGAGAGUGGAAUUCCUGGUGUAGCGGUGAAAUGCGCAGAUAUCAGGAAGAACACCCGUGGCUAAGGCGGCUCUCUAGUACGGUACUGACGCUGAGACGCGAAAGCGUGGGGAGCGAACAGG
rnacentral:rRNA from 1 species